UGGAAGCAGAAAUAAUAUUUAAUUAAUAUCAAUAAUAGUUCAAGACCAACAAUUUAUCCAUGACACCAUGAUCAGGAUAAGUGGAUGGUGACUAGAUGGAUAGACACACAUGAGUUUUUUGUAUAUUUUCUUAGUCAUCUUUUUUAGUCAUUUCUGUAACCACUUAUCCGAUUCAGGGUCUUGGGAGAUCUGGAGCAUAUCCCGGAGGCUAUGGGCACCAACCCAUCACUGGACACACUCACGCACGGGGAGAGCUUGCAAACUCUACACACAGGGAGCCAUGGCAGAGAGUUGAACCCUGGUCCAGAAGUGUGAGCUGAGGAGACCAGGCCCAGGGUUGCAGUCCGGCUUCAGGAUAGGCCUACAGCACUGGAGAGAUGGUUCACUGGCCUUCUGCUGGGUCUUCCCACUGUGGAAACAGUGCCUCUUCCACCAAGAUCAAGGCUAUACUUACCCAUGAAUUGACGGUUAAGUGUAUGGUGGUUUCUCAUUUAAAAUCCUUCAAUUUCCUAUGCUUUUGGGGUGAAAUUAAGUGGUUUGCUCUGCCCAUUAAGCAUGUUUGAGUUUAGUAAGCAACAUGUUUACCAGCUCCGCCCUGAAGUCAUAAAAUGUAAAAUAAACUGCACUGUUCUAGUGGAGACAGAUUAGUGGUCAGUUGUGUAGCAUUUUAUCUCCACGGUUAAGGGUUCGAGCCCCUGCCCCAAUUCCAAAAACAUGCAGUUGGGUGAAUGAGUGUCUCUUAUUACCCAGAGUGAAGUGUUUCAGGAUGUACCCUGGGCUCCACUCUGGCACACCUGUCCAGGGUAAGAAGUUAUGAAUGAUGGGUGCAAUAUGUUAAAGAGUAGAGACAAUUAAAAAGAUUGACCUUAAAAUUUACUUUAAUAAUUAGAGAUAUUUUCCAUCUAUUGAUUUCAUUUUUCUAAAAUGUUAGAUUCUCAAAAGCAGAUUACUUGUGUGUACUUCAGAUUAGUUAAUAUGUGCAAUGACAAAUGCCACCAAUAAAUGAUACUACUACUA